GCCCUCUCAGGACGGCACCUGGAGGGUUUCCAGUGCCCUACCAGUCUCGACUGUGGGAGGGAGAGUCAAGCAGAGGCCUACCCAUUCCAUUUCUAGCUUGGGCAGUAGCUACCGAGUGGAAGGCAAUCUGCUAAAAGU